rnacentral:rRNA from 1 species
AGGGGCGUCGUUGCCGUGGAAAAGUGGUCGGGUACCGAAAGGGGUCGAGACCGCGGUAAACCUCUAGUUGGUGCGGUAGAGAGGGAGCGGCGGAGACCGUGGUAAACACGACACGUGUACGUUGUUGAGCGGGAGAGUAAGUGGUACGGUGCAGUAUUCGUUAUUAGGAAGCAUUGUCACAGAGUGCUCGAUCGUGUUUGUGGUGGAGCCGGGAGGCGGGAGCAUAAUGGAUGAAGGCGGCGGAAACAUAUCGGAUGCGAUCACACCAGCAGUAAAGCACCGGAUCCUUAUUCUCGACGUUUUCGGAAAGUUUUAGCUUGCGGGUCAUUAUCCACGCGUGU